UUCCGGUUGAUCCUGCCGGACCUGACUGCUAUCGGAUUGAUACUAAGCCAUGCGAGUCUUUGUAGUAAUACAAGGCAUACGGCUCAGUAACGCGUAGUCAACCUACCCUAUGGACAAGAAUAAUCUCGGGAAACUGAGCAUAAUUCCUGGUAGAUCAUAAUGCCUGGAAUGGUUUAUGGUUAAAAUGAUUCGUCGCCAUAGGAUGGGACUGCGGCCUAUCAGCUUGUUGGUGAGGUAAUGGCCCACCAAGGCGAUUACAGGUACGGGCUCUGAGAGGAGAAGCCCGGAGAUGGGUACUGAGACAAGGACCCAGGCCCUAUGGGGCGCAGCAGGCGAAAAACUUUGCAAUGUGCGAAAGCCGCCAAGGUUAGUCCGAGUGAUUUCUGCUAAAGAGUUCUUUUGCUAGUUAUAAACCCACUAGUGAAUAAGGGGUGGGCAAGUUCUGGUGUCAGCCGCCGCGGUAAAACCAGCACCUCAAGUGGUCAGGAUGAUUAUUGGGCCUAAAGCAUCCGUAGCCGGCUCUGUAAGUUUCGGUUAAAUCUAUGCGCUCAACGUAUGGGCUGCCGAAAAUACUGCAGAGAUAGGGAGUGGGAGAGGUAGACGGUACUCGGUAGGAAGGGGUAAAAUCCUUUGAUCUAUCGAUGACCACCUGUGGCGAAGGCGGUCCACCAGAACACGUUCGACGGUGAGGGAUGAAAGCUGGGGGAGCAAACCGGAUUAGAUACCCGGGUAGUCCCAGCUGUAAACGAUGCAGACUCGAUGAUGCAUUGGCAUAUAGCCAGUGCAGUGUCGCAGGGAAGCCGUUAAGUCUGCCGCCUGGGAAGUACGUACGCAAGUAUGAAACUAAAGGAAUUGGGGGGCCCCCACAAGGGGUGAAGCCUGCGGUUAAUUGGAUUCAACGCCGGG
rnacentral:rRNA from 1 species